GGAUAACCAGGAGAGGUCCCCACCUUCCAAAUUUUCCGAUGGAAUUAAUCAGAGGAGCAGAACACAGCAGGGUCCUCACACCACGCAGAGCACGGUGUGUGCCGAGGGCCACAAGCAUGGGUGCUGUGGGAGGAGAGAUGAAUGGUUGCUUCCACUGUGACAGGCUGUGAAUCCCUCCAGGAGAGAGGAAUUUAGCUGUUACGAGCUGUGGACUACACUGCCAGACAUCGCUAACAGUGAAAGCAUGCUUGGGAAACACACCUCAAAAUAUGUCUGCCUGUAAUGUCUUUAGAUCCUCGCCAAAGAAGCCUAAUCCCUAUGCUAUUUCUGUUUCAUUCAGGAAAUGGAAAACGAGAACAGUAUAAGUGAACUGACAGAACUCGGGACGCAGGACACUGAAGCCGGGACCCAGUGUGCAGGUGGAAAGGGGCCGAAGGGCUCUCACCGGUCGCCCUGCAGAGAUGCAAGCAUCUCCAGGUCCUACUAAAGGCCUUUUCAGAGAGUCACUAGAAUGCCUAUUAAUAACCGUACAUGUGUUUGUCAGCGCAGGCUCGAUCACGCUGCAGUAACAAUCCCCAGUCUCAGGCCAGAAACGACAGAGGAGCCGUAUUCAGCAGCAGCCCUCGGAAACCCAGGAUGAGCGGGCAGCCACCACUCUGGAUUCCUGUCCUCCUGACAAAGAGAAAGUGCUCGGAGCGUCUAACUGCUCUGGCUCAGAAGCACCACAAGGCUUCUACUCACGACUCAUUGGCCACAACUAGUCAUGGGUAUACCCAACCACAACUGGAACAUUUUACUAUGCCCCUGGAAGACAGCCAGCCAGAAACGCCUGAUACACAGCACUAGAUGCUAACCACACUAACCAAGCUAACAUUUGCUGAACAUGCCUAUUAUGUGCUGAGCACCCUUACAUAUGCCUUUUCCUUAGAAACUCAUCGACUCCUCACAGUAAAUCUAGAAGAUAGUAGUAUGAUUAUCUCCAUUUUGGCCAGGAAAGACCCCACAGCUAGUCAAUAAAAGAUCUGGGGUUCAAAUCCACACCGUCUGGUGCCAGAGACCAUCCUCAGGGCCCCUGCAGCACUUCCCCUGUGCGAUAAAGCUGGCAGUUUAUCUUCAAAUGUCCUAACCCGCAAAUUCUGCUCCACU
ensembl:lncRNA